GGUUUUCCCAGGGCAUGGAAAGGACAGGGCUCCCAGUGGAGAUAUCAUGUAGCUAUAGGGCCUAGAAGUAUUUUUUCAGUAGAUGAAAUUUAGAAAUAAUUUGAAUAUUUUAUGCUGGGGAGGUAGCUUGUGGAGUGAAAUGGUCGGGUAAAGGAAACACUGAGUUCAAGUGCUUCUUUAUAAAGGACACUUAACUGAUCUAAAUAUUUGUCAAGCUGAAUCGCUACAUCCACUCUCACCUGCCUGAAAUCAAUAUGCUCAAGUCAAACGCAUUUGCCUGCAUCUGAAUGUGGAGAAUGAACUUCUUAAAGCUGAACUGGCAGCUGGAAGGGGAGAGAGAAGAGCUGGACAGGGAGCCAGGACACCGGAGUUCUUUUCCACUGUGGUGGGAUCUGGAAGAAGCUGUUGAAUCUCUGUAGAGUUAGCUUUUAAAUGCUGUGAGUCUUUGGAAAGCUGUGCGAAUAACUGCUAAACACCCAGGACAGCUUAUGCAUUUUUUGAAAAAGGUUCCUGGUGCUGGUUCCAGCAGAAUAGACACAGAGAUGCAUGGCCUAACUCCCACUCCCUCUUCAGGACUGAGCCACGCAGCCCCCCAUCUGCCAGAAGUGUUAGCUGUUGACGGCUCACAGCUGAGUCCCUCUCCAGGCAUUGCUGAAAAGAGCCACCUUGCUCUAGGAUGUGCCCCCACCCUGGGGGCAGCAUACAUUCCAAGUGAUUAGUCCAUAGUGUGGUACAAAGGUUGUACCCAUCUUGCCUGAAUUCAGGAUCUCUUGGAAAACCACCCCAGCUCUGCAGCUCCUGGUGGGGUGCUGAGGCCUCUGCUGCAGCUGCAUCGCAGUUUACUUUCCCCUCUGCCUAGUCCUGCUGCCUUCACUCCCCAACAGAUCACCCGCUCUGAACAUGCCAUCUACUGUGGAAAUCUUCAAUCUUUAAUUAAUUUUUCCUGUUACAGGAAGAUUAAGUCUAAAAGGGUAUCUCCCCUAGUUGAUCCAGAACUAAAUAACAUUGUUUUCAGUACUUCCAGUAACUUGCUUACACUCUUACUUCUAAAGCAUUGAAUGUAUCAUCUUAUGUGCUUGUCACCCCCAGCUUGUGUCAUAGGAGAAAGUAUACGGAGAUCAGGUACAACUUCAGUUCAACAGCUUAUGAGCUAUUGGAUCAGUCUCCUUAUUAAUCUCUCAGAGCCUCAAUUUCCUUGUUUAAAAUGGGGGCAAUACCUACCUUAAGGAAUUUCUUGAGGAUCAAAAGAAACCCUAGUAACAAAGCCUUGAACCAUGUCUGACUUAUAGUAUAUAUUCUAA
rnacentral:lncRNA from 1 species